rnacentral:ncRNA from 1 species
AAAUAGCGGGAGAGAAAUAGUUUAUUUAUUCACCGAAGAGGUAAAAGCUUUCAGGUAAAAGGACCGUUAUUG